AAAGCCGUUUACAGAGUUCCUUCUGGCUAAAGAACAAAAUGAAAAUUCUUCCAAUUUUUGUUUCCUAUACUUCACAGAAUUCAUAGAAGAGACAAGAUAUACUUCAAACGUCUCGAAGAUAGGUGAGAGGUAAAGUAUAGCGAAGAAAGACGGUUGAUAGACGUCAGGGCUUUAAUGUGUCUAUGCCCAGGAAAGCAAAACGUUCAAGAAUAUGACAGAUGCCUGACGGCAGGUAUUCGUUUGGUUGAACGUUUCUGAACAGUUUCCAGGAGAUUGAUAUGCUGAGCAAGAUAGAUGUCCCAGAUUGGAAAAUAGGGGUUCCAGACUAAAAAAACAGGGCUUCCAGACCCCUAUUUGAACUCUAUGUGUGGAGGUACCAUAGUCAUACAGUUUUAAAUGUGACAGCUGGAGCGCAGUUGUUGAGGGAGUAUGUUAAAGCUGAGAUUUUAUUUAUACACAUACACAUAUUGUAUAUGGAGAAUAAGGAUAACUGAAUGCGUGCCUGUUAUUUGUAGGUUUGUUUGUAUAUCGAUAUAUACAUGCGCAUGUAUAUAAGAAAUAUAUAAUGGCAGGAUAUUAUCCGUUUCAAAAACCAUAAUUCUACGUGAUAAUAAAACAUUUGUACACGGAACGAA